rnacentral:rRNA from 1 species
UGGGGAAUAUUGCACAAUGGGCGCAAGCCUGAUGCAGCCAUGCCGCGUGUGUGAAGAAGGCCUUCGGGUUGUAAAGCACUUUCAGCAGUGAGGAAGGGUGUGUAUUUAAUAGAUACACAUUUUGACGUUAGUUGCAGAAGAAGCACCGGCUAACUCCGUGCCAGCAGCCGCGGUAAUACGGAGGGUGCGAGCGUUAAUCGGAAUUACUGGGCGUAAAGCGCAUGCAGGUGGUUUGUUAAGUCAGAUGUGAAAGCCCGGGGCUCAACCUCGGAACUGCAUUUGAAACUGGCAGGCUAGAGUACUGUAGAGGGGGGUAGAAUUUCAGGUGUAGCGGUGAAAUGCGUAGAGAUCUGAAGGAAUACCGGUGGCGAAGGCGGCCCCCUGGACAGAUACUGACACUCAGAUGCGAAAGCGUGGGGAGCAAACAGG